rnacentral:rRNA from 1 species
CGUGUAGGCGGUUUGUUAAGUCUGGCGUGAAAGCUCUCGGCUAAACCGGGAGAGGUCGUUGGAUACUGGCGAACUAGAGGAUGGUAGAGGCGUGUGGAAUUCCGGGUGUAGUGGUGAAAUGCGUAGAGAUCCGGAGGAACACCAGUGGCGAAGGCGACACGCUGGGCCAUACCUGACGCUAAAGCGCGACAGCAUGGGGAGCAAACGGGAUUAGAAACCCCGGUAGUCCAUGCCGUAAACGAUGCCAGCUAGAUGUUCACGUCGCGCAAGCGAUUGGGGUAUCGAAGCAAACGCGAUAAGCUGGCCGCCUGGGGAGUACGGUCGCAAGGCUAAA